GUCCAAUUUAAAAUUUUUAAGUUUUUAAGUUUAAGUUCUUAUACCACAUUCAUUCUGUGUCAGAAACCUAUGUUGUGUCAACUAUUUAAUCACAAUCCAAAUUCAGAGCUGUAUCAAGCUUGAAUGUUGUGUCCAUACUUGCACCAACUGUUCAGGGUUCGAACUCUGCGGUCGCAUAAAGCUGCGCCCUGCGGAGCAUCUG
rnacentral:lncRNA from 1 species